rnacentral:misc_RNA from 1 species
ACACCUCAACUCAUCAUGGUUUUCUAUGAUGAGCUUGGACUUUGGGGGUUUUGCUGGCUUACGGUCGGCUCCUCUAAAAUGAAUCAGCUUGCCAGUGUUUGGUGGGUAUCAUGGGUGUGAUAACUAUCUACGCUUGUGGUUUUUCCACCAGAUAACCUUCAGCAGUGGAGGUUCACUGGAGCUCACAGACGUCUCUCCUCAGUGAGGACAGCCCUUUUAAU